rnacentral:rRNA from 1 species
CUGCGGAGGGAUCAUUACAGAGUUUUCUAAACUCCCAACCCUAUGUGAACUUACCUUUGUUGCUUCGGCGGCGGAGGCUACCCUGCGGGAGAAUACCACUUAGUGGUUACCCUGUAGUUUCAGGUACAUCAGCUACCCGGUAGUCAUCCCCGCCGGCGGCCAACUAAACUCUGUUUUCUUUGGAAUUCUGAAUAACAAACUUAAUAAGUUAAAACUUUCAACAACGGAUCUCUUGGUUCUGGCAUCGAUGAAGAACGCAGCGAAAUGCGAUAAGUAAUGUGAAUUGCAGAAUUCAGUGAAUCAUCGAAUCUUUGAACGCACAUUGCGCCCAUUAGCAUUCUAGUGGGCAUGCCUGUUCGAGCGUCAUUUCACCACUUAAGCCUUGUUGCUUAGCGUUGGGAGCCUACGGCACGGCCCGUAGCUCCUUAAAGUGAUUGGCGGAGUUGGUUCUCACUCUAAGCGUAGUAAUUAUAUCUCGCUUCUGUAGUGGUCCCGGCCCCUGCCGUAAAACCCCUUAUACAAAGGUUGACCUCGGAUCAGGUAGGAAUACCCGCUGAACUUAAGCAUAUCAA